rnacentral:rRNA from 1 species
CACGUAGGGGGCGAGCGUUGUCCGGAAUCAUUGGGCGUAAAGAGCUCGUAGGCGGCUCAGUAAGUCGGGUGUGAAACCCUCAGGCUCAACCUGGGGACGCCACCCGAUACUGCUGUGGCUAGAGUCCAGUAGGGGAGUGUGGAAUUCCCGGUGUAGCGGUGAAAUUCGUAGAUAUUCGCAAGAACACCAGUGGCGAAGGCGGCUCACUGGCCCGGUACUGACGCUGAGGUGCGAAAGCGUGGGGAGCAAACAGG